rnacentral:rRNA from 1 species
AGUGAACGCUGGCGGUAGGCCUAACACAUGCAAGUCGAACGGCAGCACAGUAAGAGCUUGCUCUUACGGGUGGCGAGUGGCGGACGGGUGAGGAAUACAUCGGAAUCUACUUUUUCGUGGGGGAUAACGUAGGGAAACUUACGCUAAUACCGCAUACGACCUACGGGUGAAAGCAGGGGAUCUUCGGACCUUGCGCGAUUGAAUGAGACGAUGUCGGAUUAGCUAGUUGGCGGGGUAAAGGCCCACCAAGGCGACGAUCCGUAGCUGGUCUGAGAGGAUGAUCAGCCACACUGGAACUGGGACACGGUCCAGACUCCUACGGGAGGGGGCAGUGGGGAAUAUUGGACAAUGGGCGCAAGCCUGAUCCAGCCAUACCGCGUGGGUGAAGAAGGCCUUCGAGUUGUAGAGCCCUUUUGUUGGGAAAGAAAAGCAGCAGGUUAAUACCCCGCUGUUCUGACGGUACCCAAAGAAUAAGCACCGGCUAACUUCGUG